CUGAAGUUGGAUGUCCUCAUGCAGAUCAUGAGGACGUCCAGCAUCAGAUACCGGACCAAAGGACUGAAAUACGCUCCUACUCAUAAUUUUAAUAACUUCUCCUCUUUUAUAGAUGUCAUUAAAUUUAUUAGAUGAGCUACUCUCAAAAUUUUUUAUUUAAGUUAUACUAGCGGUCGGUCAUGUUUAGGAGUUCCAAACGUACGAAAAGGAGAACAGUUCCCCUGGCUCAUUUGUAGCGUUUGUUUGUGCAAAAGAAAGCAGACAUUCACGUAGUCUUGGCGUUCCAGACACUCCCGCUGCCUGCUUUUGUGCGACAAGAUGGCCGUUGUUUUCUCCACCACGUGGCAUUUGGUUAUACAAACACAGAG